AAUUCUGGAGCUAAUACAUGCAUAAAAGAUGUUUUUGUAAAAAAACAUUGCAUAUAUUAGUAUUAAAACCAAGCAUUCUUCGGGAUGUUUUGUGUUGAAMCUGAAUAUAUCAUGCUGAUCGUAUGGUCUUGUACCGACGACAUGUCAUUCAAGUGUCUGAUCUAUCAACUUUCUAUAUAAGUAUAUAGUACUUAUAUGGUUUUGACGGAUAACGGGGUAUUAGGGUACGACUCCGGAGAAAAUGCCUGAGAAACGGCGUUUACAUCCAAGGAAGGCAGCAGGCGCGAAAAUUACCCACUCUCAGUACGAGGAGGUAGUGACGAGAAAUGACAAGAUCUAUUCCUUCGGGGAUGGAUCAUUGGAAUGGUUUGAUUUUAAAAUCAUUAAAGAGUAUCAAUGAGAGGGCAAGUCUGGUGCCAGCAGCCGCGGUAAUUCCAGCUCUCAUACUGCAUUGAAUUGUUGUUGCGGUUAAAAAGCUCGUAGUUGGAUCUGUACAUGAUAGGUUAGUUCAUCCUUUGGAUUGUAACUAAUACUAAAUGUUUUUUAUAAGAUUUUUGUAUUCUUUCGGGGAUACAAUGUCUUAUGAGUUUACUUUGAAUAAAUCAGAGUGCUCAAAACAGGCGUAAGCUUGUAUGGUUUUGCAUGGAAUAAUAGAACAUGACUAUGGUUCAUGUUUUAUUGGUUUUACUUACCAUAGUAAUGAUUAAAAGGAACAAACGGGGGCAUCCGUAUCGCAGGGCGAGAGGUGAAAUUCGUGGACCCUUGCGAGACGAACUACAGCGAAGGCAUUUGCCAAGAAUG
rnacentral:rRNA from 1 species